GACUUCGAGGAGCGCUGCGAGGCCGGACCCGGCCCCAGGCUCGAAGCGGAAUCACCCAACGGCGCUCACCUGUA
rnacentral:ncRNA from 2 species